GGCAGAGUGGAGUAGCAGUUUGAGCACUAGACUAGGAAUUUGGAGACCAGGGUUCAAAUCCCUGUUCACCCA